GGGCUUGGUUCUAUGUCCCUGUGGGUAGCUAUGUUUCCAGUGUCCUCUGGGUGUUUCCAAGAGCAACAAGAAACGAAUAAAUCUCUGAUGGAUUUUCCCUCUUGUUGCCCAGGCUGGAGUGCAAUGGUGUGAUCUCGGUUCACUGCAACCCCCUGCCUCCCGGGUUCAAGCAAUUCUCCUGCCCCAGCCUCCUGAGUAGCUGGGAUUAGAGGCAUGUGCCACCGUGCCCAGCUAAUUUUGUGUUUUUAGAAGAGACGGGGUUUUUCCUUGUUUGUCAGGCUGGCCCUGAACUCCUGACCUCAGGUGAUCCACCUGCCUCAGCCUCCCCAAGUGUUGGGAUUACAGGC
rnacentral:lncRNA from 1 species